AAAAAGAUAAGCUAAUUAAGCUCUUGGGUUCAUACCCCAUUUAUAAAGGUAAAAUCCUUUUCUUUUUA
rnacentral:tRNA from 1 species